rnacentral:lncRNA from 1 species
UAGAAGUAAUUAAUUCCUUGUUGACCUACUCAUAACCUUCGUACACAUUCCACCAUAUCCAGAAGACCUCGUACAUAACUUAUUGUCAUGAAUGAGUGGAAACCAAAAUAUGGAUUUAUGUGCACAAGAUACUAUGGUGAUCUCAGGUCAAAGGAUCAGUUGCACAACUCCCACUAAGAGAAUCAUCUUUUGACAUGUAAGUAAGACUUCAUAAGAUUUCUCUUUGUAGGUCAAUUCAGUGAACUCAUUUCUCUAAUGAGC